UCCUGGUGGUGCUGGCUUUGGGCCUGGUGCAGGAGUUGGGCCUGGUGGUGCUGGUACUGGCUUUGGACCUGGAGGGACCAGAUCACAAGGAUAUGAUGCCAAUGCAAAAGCCCGUAAAUAUGGCAUGUUAAGCGGUACUUUGGGAGGACCU